rnacentral:lncRNA from 10 species
CUAAUAGCAGUUAAUGUUCAUCAUGUUGGCACCUGGGUGAAACUCCUUUCCAUGCAGAGGUAAAUGUAGGUACCGAUCAUUGAAAGGUAAUCUUUAAUUAAUUGAUUGUUUUUGAGACAGAGUCUCACUCUUAUCGCCCAGCCUGGAAGUGCAGUGGUGUGAUCUCAGCUCACCGCAACCUCUGCCUCCUGGGUUCAAGGGAUUCUUCUGCCUCAGCCUCCCAAGUAGCUGAGUAGCUGGGAUUACAGGUGCAAGCCACCACGACCGCCUAAUUUUUGUAUUUUUGGUAGAGACAGGGUUUCACCACGCUGGCCAGGCUGGUCUCCAACUCCUGACCUCAGGUGAUCCACCCGCCUCGGCCUCCCAAAGUGCUGGGGUUAUAGGUGUGAGCCACCGUACCCGGCCGAGAGGUAAUCUUCAGAAGACUUACUGGUGGGUGAUGACAGUGUUUGGGCCCCCAAUUUUAAAAAGGAUUAGAAGCAGUGACAAGAAUUUGGCAAAACAAAUUUCUGAACCCAAGACUGUUGUGCACUGGCAAGUGUAGGAUGUUUGUCCUCAGCUGGAGUCCCUAAACUCCGACACACACAGCACAUCCAGUACUUCCUAAAAGAGCAGAUGGGACCAUAGCAAGAAUCUCUUUGCUGCCCGACACAUGAGAAGCGGCCUGCCCAGCUGGCACUUGCUCUCCUACAACCAGCCUCAACAAGGCAUCGAGCUGCCUGCACCAGUGACAGCAAAGCAGCACCUGCCUGUCUGCAGCUCAGGGAUUUUCUCUCGCCCUCAGUCGUACAGCCUUAGCCUUCCAGAAAAAUGGAUCUGUGGCAGUCAUGGUUCCUGGACUUCUAGAAAUGACUAUAUUCCAGGAGAUGCAGAAAUGCUACUGAACAUGGAUGUGCAGCACCACAGAAAACCUAUGUGGGAUCCUGAUCACCAGUGGAAGCCCGGCUCCUUAGAGAGCUAAGAUGGAACAAAGAAAAUUCCCAGGCCCGGGAACCACCAGAGGUACUACCUUAUUUGCUCAAAAGUCACCCAGCAGUUGUACUCAGAGUCAAGGACUAGUGCUUCUGCACCUGAGAAGAAGCAUCUCCGGCUACCCAUCGGAAGAGCGCUUUGUCUAAGGAGGCCUCAAACUUCAGCCUCCCGACUUGCAAUCUGAGUCAGGAGCCAAGCUGUGCAAGUGGACAAGCGCCCUCGGAAGAUGCUGUCUCCCUGUCGGAGCCAACUGGCGCACUCACCCUCCCUGCUCAGCUCAAUCCAUCAGCGUGUGCUGCCACUGCCGUAAGUCAAUCGGCUCGGGGCGGACAGCUAUCAGAGAUGAAACAGGGACAAGGAAAAG